GAUCUGCCCGGACUGUAAUGAGUCCUUUCCCUUCGGGGACAGAGAAGACAGGUGGUGCAUGGUUGUCGUCAGCUCGUGUCGUGAGAUGUUGGGUUAAGUCCCGCAACGAGCGCAACCCUUAUCCUUAGUAGCCAGCAUUUVGGGUGGGCACUCUGAGGAGACUGCCAGGGACAACCUGGAGGAAGGKGGGGAUGACSUCAAAUCAUCAUGCCCCUUAUGAUUUGGGCUACACACGUGCUACAAUGGCGUAAACAAAGGGAAGCGAAGGCGUGAGCCGGAGCGAAUCUCAAAAAUAACGUCUCAGUUCGGAUUGUAGUCUGCAACUCGACUACAUGAAGCUGGAAUCGCUAGUAAUCGCAGGUCAACAUACUGGGGGGAAUACSUUCCCGGGUCUUGUACAC
rnacentral:rRNA from 1 species